rnacentral:rRNA from 1 species
CAGUCGCCGCGGUAAUACGUAGGGUGCGAGCGUUAAUCGGAAUUACUGGGCGUAAAGCGUGCGCAGGCGGUCUGUUAAGUCGGAUGUGAAAGCCCGGGGCUCAACCCCGGAACUGCAUCCGAGACUGGCAGGCUUGAGACCGGGAGAGGAGGGUGGAAUAUCCAGUGUAGAGGUGAAAUUCGUAGAUAUUGGAUGGAACACCGGUGGCGAAAGCGGCUCUCUGGCCCGGAUCUGACGCUGAGGCGCGAAAGCGUGGGGAGCAAACAGGAUUAGAUACCCGAGUAGUCCCUGUCUCUUAUAC